GAGCUGGGUACAUAUGAAUACCAAAAGCAGUUAUCUGCCCAAGAAGUGAAGCAGGAGUUUUAAUCAGUUUGCAGAUAGAUGGCAGACAAGCAACAUCUCUCUUUCAACAUGGAACAACCUCUUUGUUUUUCACACUAAUUUUGUGCCACUAGCUCUGAAUUAUACCAGCUCUCAACCUGCCAUAGCAUGGGAACAACCUCUUUGUAUUUCACACCAACUUCAUGCAGCUAUUUCUGAAUUAUAUCAGCUCUUGACUUAUCACAUUUAUUUAUGCCAACCUCACUCUGCUAAAUUCUGGAUGACAUCAGCCCACUACUCUGGUUAUGUUAUGAGCGGUAUAUUUUUGUUUGUGUUAGUUCCACUCCUAUUAGCUUAUAAUGACUUCCAACAAAAUCUGUUUUUCAAAUGUAAGUUAUAAAACUUUCCCUGACUUAUGCAUACACACAGGCUAUGUUCUUACUACUUGUCAGCUCUCAUUAAUAAAGAAUAUUUUUGUAUAAAAACUGCCUUCUGAUAAGUUUCCUUUUACUAACUUUCAUACUAUAAAUUAGCAACCACCUACACCUAUUUCUUUGUGAACUAUUUCCAAAUUAUAAUAAAAAGAGAAAUUUGAACAACUUGUGACAUCCUUUACACACUGAUACAACUACACACACUUAAAAAUGAUAUUGAACAGUACAGAGCAAACAAAAACUACGAAAAUGAGUGAAGCUAACUUGUAAAAUCUGUCUAUUAUAUUUUGAGCUAUCAUGUUGUGAUUGCUAUUUAAGUUCAGAUGGAAAACAUUUCUUUUGUGCCUGUUUUGAAUUUCUCUUACAACCAUGUGGGUGCAUUUGGUUUUCAAGGUGGCUACCCUUCUUGUUGACUUUUCAUUUCCCUGCUUAACCUCGGGGUGCCUUGUGCAUGCAUGAUGGUACCUAGAAUGCAUGCCUUGUCUCAAUUAGGAUUCUAUUUUUCCUGCUUGCCACCGUGGUCACACCAUUGACUAAGGUAGCAUUUGACCUCUACCAGACAAAGUGCAAUUUUAUCAGCAAUUUCAUCAGCAACACUUGCAACUGCUUGCCCUUUUCUCUCAGCUGAAAUGCAUUGCAGCAUGUUCAGUCAUGAAUUGCUGGCGAUUUACCUUUCUGUGAAGCAGAUCCGGUACAACUUUGAAGGAAGGAACUUCAGUAUAUAUACUGACCACAGGGCUGUUUGCAUAUGAAUACCAAAGGCAGUUUUCUGCCCAUAAAGUGAAGCAGAAGUUUUAAUCAGUUAGCAGAUAGACAGCAGACAAGCAACAACUCCCUUUCAACAUGGAACAGCUGCUUUGUUUUUCACACCAACUUCAUGCUGCUAGCGCUGAAUUAUACCAGCUCUCAACUUGCCACAGUAUGGGAACAACCUCUUUGUUUUUCAUACCAACUUUGUGCAGCUAACUCUGAAUUAUAUCAGCUCUUGACUUGUUACAUCAUGAACAGCCUAUUUCAUUUAUGCCAACUUCACUCCACAAAAUUCUGGAUGACAUCAGAUCACUACUCUGGUCAUGUUAUGAGUGGUAUAUUUUUGUUUAUGCUAGCUCCGUUCUUAUUAGCUUAUAAUGACUUCCAACAAAAUCUAUUUUUCAAACGUAAAUUAUAAAGCUUUCCUUGACUCAUGCAUACAUACAGGCUACACUCUUACUACUUGUCAGCUCUCAUUAAUAAAGAAUAUUUUUGUAUAAAAAUUGCCUUCUGAUAAGUUUCCUUUUACCAACUUUCACACUAUAAAUUAGUGACCGCACUAACCAUUUCUCACUGUACUCUUUUAUUAUAUGUCAGUCCUUCACCUGUCCUCCCUCUCCUUCUCCCUCAUCAUUUUAAUAUCUGCUCUCCAUGGUGGUAUGAGUUGGAUGAUUUGAGAGGGUCCAGUGAGCUGAAUAGCAGCAUUGUGCUCUUAUGUCUACUUUGGCAUGGUUUCUAUAGUUGAAUACCCUUCCUCAUGCAUGCCACCACAGAGUAUACUGAAUAUUUUGUGAAGAUUUAAGGCUAGGUGAUGAGAGAGUGUGAAAUAUGAGGAGAGGAAUAGAUUUAUUGUGGUUGUGAGAGGGUGGCUGUAGGAAGAGCAAUUGUAGUCACUAAAGGGGAAGGAGUAUGGAAAGAAAGAGAGAGGAUUAAUGUCACUGAUAAGUGAGAAAGAGUGGACAGUGCUAACAAUGAUGAAAUAGGUUGUGAGGGUCGAGAGUUACUCCAUAUUGUAAGGGUGAGUAUGGGCAGAAAGUGUGAGGGAAAGAGUACAUGAAAACAAGAAAAUAGAUGAUGGUCGUGUGAAUCCAUAAGAAUCACUGAAGAAAGAGAAGGAGAGGUGAGAGAGAGUAUUGAGAUGACAGAGAGGGUGUUGAGAUGGCAGAGAAGGUGUGGGAAGAAGACAGAGAAAAAGAGGCAGAUAGAGAGUGAUGAGCAGCAGUGGAAGAACAAGCAUCACAGGUGAUGAGAGUGUGAUGAUUGAAGUGAGUGGGAAGCUAGAUCGAGAAGGGAUGAUUGGCCCAGGUUGAGCGAUGAGGAUGGAGCAAUAAAGUCUCAUGCAUAGGCUUGGUUGAGGAUGGAGGAGGUAGAGUGGUAUGUGGGGCAACCAUUCAUAGUUCAUGAGCUUUGUGGAUAAUGGGGAGGUAAGAAAUGGAGGAGUAUAGGUGACAGAAGGAAGAGAUGGCUGAAGUGAAUGGGGGAAUGGAUGGAAGUGGGAAGAUGAUUAACAAAGAGGAGGAGAAGUGGGGUCAGGGGUACAAAGUUAACUAAUAUCAUCUUCCUACACUCACUCUCUGAAUUCUUCCAAUAUUUGGAAUGACAUGUUUCUUCAGUGUUUUGUUCAUUAUCUACCAAUACUCAACUAUAAAGAAACAAACUAUUUUACUUACUUUUUGCAAAGACAAACUCUUCCCUCCUCCUCCUCCUCCUCAUCAUCAACAACAACAACAAUGCAAUAAAGUACAUUAUUACUUGUGUUAAUCCUGUGUCAUCUC
rnacentral:lncRNA from 1 species